rnacentral:rRNA from 1 species
CAAUAGCGUAUAUUUAAGUUGUUGCAGUUAAAAAGCUCGUAGUUGGAUUUCGGAUGGGACUUGCCGGUCCGUCGUUUCGAUGUGCACUGGCCAGUCCUAUCUUGUUGUCGGGGACUAGCUCCUGGGCUUCACUGUCCGGGACUAGGAGCUGACGAGGUUACUUUGAGUAAAUUAGAGUGUUCAAAGCAAGCCUACGCUCUGAAUACAUUAGCAUGGAAUAACACGAUAGGACUCUGGCUUGUCUUGUUGGUCUGUGAGACCAGAGUAAUGAUUAAGAGGGACAGUCGGGGGCAUUCGUAUUUCAUUGUCAGAGGUGAAAUUCUUGGAUUUAUGAAAGACGAACUUCUGCGAAAGCAUUUGUCAAGGAUGUUUUCAUUAA